rnacentral:rRNA from 1 species
UACGUAGGGGGCUAGCGUUGUCCGGAAUCAUUGGGCGUAAAGCGCGCGUAGGCGGCCAGAUAAGUCCGGUGUGAAAGUCACAGGCUCAACCUGUGAAUGCCGCUGGAAACUGUCUGGCUAGAGUCCGGGAGGGGCGAGUGGAAUUCCUGGUGUAGCGGUGAAAUGCGCAGAUAUCAGGAGGAACACCAAUGGCGAAGGCAGCUCGCUGGAACGGUACUGACGCUGAGAAGCGAAAGCAUGGGGAGCGAACAGG